UCUAAGACAUCAGCAGUUGAAGAAUACAAAGCUUCAUUUCUCACUCCUGGAACACAGCCACCGUCAAGAGGCAGGGUACUCUGCCCUGCACAGCCGCUCUGGGGGCAGAGUGACAGAGGCUUGUCAUCUUAUAGGUGCAUCCAGCUUAAGCUUUUGGCCUUCUGGACUCCCAUGGCAAGAAAGAAUUAAGUCCAGAGAAUUCUGCAUCAGCGUGGAAUAAUACACAUCACUUCCACUCACAUUUCAUUGGCCAGAACUAGCAACACGGAGUUCUGCAAAUGCAAGGAGAGGCUGAUAAACACCAAUACUACUAUCUGCCCCACAGUGUAAGAGACAAACUUUUGACACCGAGGGUCACCUAAGCAUACCUCCAGUUCCCGCAGCCUGAUGGAACCCAUGGACCUCACCCUCUUCCGUCCCUCCUCAGUAAGCAAGAGACCACCUCACUGUGAGCCUGCCUGCAUUCUGUAUUCCUGUGGCUCUUCCCUUGCUCAUUUCAACCAGAAGUCAGGGUUCAAUCACAGAAGACAGAAUUCAUUCAAGCUACUGAAUCAGAAAAGGACUGACUGCAGGCUGGGCCAUGACUUAUAUAAUCAGCGGGAAGGCUUAAACACACACUAGAGGGAGCUGCCAGGAACAAUUCCCAAAGCUACCAUGGAGCACUUGGCCACCAACGAAGCUGCUUCUCUUGCCAUGACCCAGAAACCAUCUGCUAAACUGGGCAGCAGCUAGCAUCGCUGAUGGCUCCAGAACCAUGUCCUGGAUGCUCCAAUUUGUCCCAGCGAAAUGAAUAUCUCAAGCUUUGCCUCUCUCCCCACUUAACUCAGUUCCAAAUUCAAGUCUCCCACCAGCACUUCCGUUUGGCAGAGCCUAGCGCACCUC